UUGUACUUGUCUAUCUCCAGCGCAAUUAAAAAUCACUUGAAAAUGUAUACUACAGUAUAUAAUAAGCAGUAGCAGUUGGAACUUUGUGAGCCUAAAUCUCCCAAAUCUCAAACCCCAGUUCUUGAAAGUCUCUGCAAACCUUUUUCCUUUUGUCAUUUUCUCCGCAGAUAAACACACAUUUACGUUGAUUUUCUAGGGUUCUGAUUCAAUUUCUUUCUAUAUUCAUCGAUUUCCUCAACUGGGUCACACAGAUUCAAACCUCCCCGCCACUCAAAUCACAUCGAAAUGCUCCAAUUCAAGACUAUCAAGAAGAAAAUGUGGAUUUUCUCUCAUUAAUCUCUUCCCCAAUCAAAGCCCUGCUUAUCUUUCUCUCUCCUCUAAUGGAAGAUAUGACCAAACCCAGCUUCACUUCUUCUUCAGUUGCUUCCUUCAAUCGUACGCUCUCUUUCUGGUUUUCUCCAACUAAUCGCCCUCCUGGUCUAGACCCGUAGUUCAUUCAAAGAUUAGACACAGAAUCUAUAUCUAUAUCUCUGUAUACAUAUUUUUUCUCGAUAUUUUCUACAAAGGUUUUUUCUGCUGAAUUUUUGGUUGCAGUAGAUAUAAAUUUUGAUAUAUACUUUAAA
rnacentral:lncRNA from 1 species